CUUAAAUUGAAGAGUUUGAUCAUGGCUCAGAUUGAACGCUGGCGGCAGGCCUAACACAUGCAAGUCGAGCGGAAACGAGUUGUCUGAACCUUCGGGGAACGAUAACGGCGUCGAGCGGCGGACGGGUGAGUAAUGCCUAGGAAAUUGCCCUGA
rnacentral:rRNA from 1 species